GGCUGGGUAGCUCAGCUGGUUAGAGCAACGGAUUCAUAACCCGUCGGUCGUGGGUUCAACUCCCAUCCCAGCCA
rnacentral:tRNA from 1 species